GUGUCCCUAACAGAUGAGGCUCUAGCUUUGGUACAGAGAGCUGAAAUUUUACUCUCUUUCUAAAGAUAACCAAUGAUCUGAUAUCGUCAUUUGGACUGCAAAAUACUAAUUUGGUGCUUAUUUUUUCUACUUGCUCCAGUGGCAGAUUGGUUUUCCUCUCUGCUUUAGAAUGCUUGGAAAAGGAGCCUGGAAAUGCCUCCCAAGGAGGAAGUGACCCAGUCUUUCUGCAGGGCAGAUGGCCAAGCCACCACCUGCCCCCUCCUGUUAACAUGGCUCCGAGCCUGGAUGGGAGGCCAGUGCCAGGCAGCUGGGGAUCUGGAGAGAAAAAUGCUUUCCGAAGUGUGAUAAACUGGAUCAAAGCAAUCAAAAGCAAAACAGAUUGAAAUCAACGCUUGACAAAGUUCUUGAACUGGUGAUUUGUUUCUGACACACUAAAUCUUCUCAAAGGCAUUGAAACUUGGGCAACUAUUUUUGACCUAAUCUGCCCUGCCUGGAAGGCAGCAAGUGAGGGCUCAAGUACUUGGGUUCCUGCCAUCUACAUCGGCUCCUGGCUCCUGGCUUUGCCCUGGCCCAAACCUGGCUGUUGUGAGCAAUCAGGGGUGAACCAGUGGGUGGGAGAACUGUCCGUCCGUCUGCCUCUGACUGCCUUUCUCUCGUUCUCUCUGCCUUUC